rnacentral:rRNA from 1 species
UUGAAGGGCUGCAGUAUAUUGACUGUACAAAGGUAGCAUAAUCAUUAGUCAUUUAAUUGGUGACUUGUAUGAAAGAUUUGAUGAAAUAUAAUCUGUCUCUAAUUUAUAAAUAUAAUUUAAUUUUUUAAUUAAAAAGUUAAAAUAAUUUAAAAAGACGAGAAGACCCUAUAGAGUUUUAUAGAUAAAUUAAUUAAGGUUGUUUAAAUUAUUUAAAAUUAAAAUUAAAUUAUUUAUUUUAUUGGGGUGAUAGAAAAAUAUAUAUAACUUUUUUUUUAUAGUGACAUUUAUAGGUGGUUGGAUGAUCCAAUAAUAUUGAUUAUAAGAAUAAUUUACCUUAGGGAUAACAGCGUAAUUUUUUUUUUUAGUUCGUAUAAGAAAGAGAGUUUGCGACCUCGAUGUUGGAUUAAGAUAAAAUUUAAA